GAUGAACGCUGGCGGCGUGCCUAAUACAUGCAAGUCGAGCGAACAGACGAGGAGCUUGCUCCUCUGACGUUAGCGGCGGACGGGUGAGUAACACGUGGAUAACCUACCUAUAUGACUGGGAUAACUUCGGGAAACCGGAGCUAAUACCGGAUAAUAUAUUGAACCGCAUGGUUCAAUAGUGAAAGACGGUUUUGCUGUAACUUAUAGAUGGAUCCGUGCCGCAUUAGCUAGUUGGUAAGGUAACGGCUUACCAAGGCAACGAUGCGUAGCCGACCUGAGAGGAUGAUCGGCCACACUGGAACUGAGACACGGUCCAGACUCCUACGGGAGGCAGCAGUAGGGAAUCUUCCGCAAUGGGCGAAAGCUUGACGGAGCAACGCCGCGUGAGUGAAGAAGGUCUUCGGAUCGUAAAACUCUGUUAUUAGGGAAGAAAAAAUGUGUAAGUAACUAUGCACGUCUUGACGGUACCUGAUCAGAAAGCAACGGCUAACUACGUG
rnacentral:rRNA from 1 species